rnacentral:rRNA from 2 species
GCAGUCGAGCGGACAGAUGGGAGCUUGCUCCCUGAGGUUAGCGGCGGACGGGUGAGUAACACGUGGGUAACCUGCCUGUAAGACUGGAAUAACUCCGGGAAACCGGGGCUAAUACCGGAUGGUUGUUUGAACCGCAUGGUUCAAACUUAAGAGGUGGCUUUGGCUACCACUUACAGAUGGACCCGCGGCGCAUUAGCUAGUUGGGGAGGUAACGGCUCACCAAGGCAACGAUGCGUAGCCGACCUGAAAGGGUGAUCGGCCACACUGGGACUGAAAACCCGCCCAGAAUCCUACGGGGGGGAACUGUAGGGAAUCUUCCGCAAUGGACGAAAGUCUGGCCGAGCGACGCCGCGUGGGUGAUGAAGGUUUUCGGAUCUUAAACCUCUGUUGUUACGGAAGAACAAAUACCGUUCGAAUAUGGCGGUACCUUGACGGUACCUAACCAGAAAGCCACGGCUAACUACGUGCCAACAACCGCGGUAAUACGUAGGUGGCAAGCGUUGUCCGGAAUUAUUGGGCGUAAAGGGCUCGCAG